GGGGCCGUAGCUCAGUUGGCUAGAGCGCUUCCAUGGCAUGGAAGAGGUCGUGAGUUCGAUUCUCAUCGGCUCCACAA
rnacentral:tRNA from 1 species